GACGAACGCUGGCGGCGUGCUUAACACAUGCAAGUCGAACGGAAAGGCCCUGCUUUUGUGGGGUGCUCGAGUGGCGAACGGGUGAGUAACACGUGAGUAACCUGCCCUUGACUUUGGGAUAACUUCAGGAAACUGGGGCUAAUACCGGAUAGGAGCUCCUGCUGCAUGGUGGGGGUUGGAAAGUUUCGGCGGUUGGGGAUGGACUCGCGGCUUAUCAGCUUGUUGGUGGGGUAGUGGCUUACCAAGGCUUUGACGGGUAGCCGGCCUGAGAGGGUGACCGGCCACAUUGGGGCUGGGAUACGGCCCAGACUCCUACGGGAGGCAGCGGUGGGGAAUAUUGCACAAUGGGCGGAAGCCUGAUGCAGCAACGCCGCGUGCGGGAUGACGGCCUUCGGGUUGGAAACCGCUUUCGCCUGUGACGAAGCGUGAGUGACGGUAAUGGGGAAAGAAGCACCGGCUAACUACGU
rnacentral:rRNA from 1 species